GGGGGAGGUAGCCAAGGGGAUCAG
rnacentral:tRNA from 1 species